GACGAACGCUGGCGGCGUGCUUAACACAUGCAAGUCGAACGGGUCUGCCCUGUUUUUUGCGGGGUGGGUCAGUGGCGAACGGGUGAGUAACACGUGAGUAACCUGCCCCUCACUUCUGGAUAACCGCUUGAAAGGGUGGCUAAUACGGGGUGUUCUGGCUGUGCCGCAUGGUGUGGCUGGGAAAGAUUCACUUUUGUGGUGUUUUGGUGGGGGAUGGGCUCGCGGCCUAUCAGCUUGUUGGUGGGGUGAUGGCCUGCCAAGGCUUUGACGGGUAGCCGGCCUGGGAGGGUGGGCGGUCACACUGGGACUGAGGUACGGCCCAGACUCCUGCGGGGGGCAGCCGUGGGGGGGAUUGCACAAUGGGCGGAAGCCUGAUGCAGCGACGUCGCGUGAGGGAUGGAGACCUUCGGGUUGUGAACCUCUUUCGCCGGUGAAGAAGGUCCUGCUCUUUGUGGUGGGGUUGACGGUAGCCGGGUUAUGAAGCGCCGGCUAACUACGUG
rnacentral:rRNA from 1 species